GCUCCCUCUCUCACAUCCCUUGCAUGGUGGAGGGUGCACUUGCUGAAAACCCCUCCCACAUGCAGGGUUUGCAGGAUGGUGAGC
rfam:Pteropus alecto contig50473, whole genome shotgun sequence.